CUACCAAUCAACUCGGCCACUUCUACCGGGCCCUUCAGCCGACUCCUCUGAUAAGAGAUAGGACUGACAACCGUAUAGCAGUAAUUAUUGUGAGACAGACCUUCCAGAUAAUCCCAGUGAUCAGCUCCAUCUCUUUGAUUCCCCGCUGCAAAAUACCGAGAGCAGUAACCAGUAAAAUAAUGGCUGCUACAACCUUGUACGACCGUAGAAGGCUGCGAAUCAAAGGAUAUUGAUUGAGAGGCGUUGCCAUAGUAACAAACCUAGUGUCAUUUUAACACUAAGGAAGAAAGAAGGACUUGGCACUUCAUUGCUUAUAGCUCUCGCGUGACACUAAAUGCGCUUUACUACUUAAUCACCAUUAAAAGUGACCUUCAGUGCGACGGAUGCAGUCAUCUGGCGGGUAUCGGGCCGGGGUGCUGAAGAGUAACUGCAUUAUGUGAAGCUAUUCACACGUCAGAGUGAUGGCCGGGGGUUAAUGUAAAUUGCAGACCAGCGUGUGUGUGUAAUGACCAAUUCAACCAGUAAAGGUUAAGUUAACACACAUAAAAUUUACCAGGUGGAGCCGAGCGCAGCUGCGUAUCGAUUUUAUCUCCUGAAUUGCUGGAAUAUCAGAGCUGCCCCCUUCUGCCUCCAUCCCUUGUUCUCGUAAAAUGCUGCGACUCUUUGCAUGUUCUUAUAAACGACAUCAUUUACAGACGAGGGAAUGAAGAAAAAAAAAAAAGAAAAAAAAUCCAAAAAUCUCCCAGUAUGAGGAUUGAAUGAUUGCUCUCAAGUGCGCCUGACAUUUAUGAUACUUGGUAAUGAGGUUCUGCU